rnacentral:rRNA from 1 species
GGCCUAACACAUGCAAGUCGAGCGGUAGCACAGGAGAGCUUGCUCUCCGGGUGACGAGCGGCGGACGGGUGAGUAAUGUCUGGGAAACUGCCUGAUGGAGGGGGAUAACUACUGGAAACGGUAGCUAAUACCGCAUAACGUCUUCGGACCAAAGUGGGGGACCUUCGGGCCUCACGCCAUCAGAUGUGCCCAGAUGGGAUUAGCUAGUAGGUGGGGUAAUGGCUCACCUAGGCGACGAUCCCUAGCUGGUCUGAGAGGAUGACCAGCCACACUGGAACUGAGACACGGUCCAGACUCCUACGGGAGGCAGCAGUGGGGAAUAUUGCACAAUGGGCGCAAGCCUGAUGCAGCCAUGCCGCGUGUGUGAAGAAGGCCUUCGGGUUGUAAAGCACUUUCAGCGAGGAGGAAGGGUUCAGUGUUAAUAGCACUGUUCAUUGACGUUACUCGCAG